ACUCCUACGGGAGGCAGCAGUGAGGAAUAUUGGUCAAUGGGCGGAAGCCUGAACCAGCCAUGCCGCGUGCAGGACGACGGCCCUACGGGUUGUAAACUGCUUUUGCGCGGGAAGAAUAACCCCCUCGUGAGGGGGGAUGCCGGUACCGCGCGAAUAAGGAUCGGCUAACUCCGUGCCAGCAGCCGCGGUAAUACGGAGGAUCCGAGCGUUAUCCGGAUUUACUGGGUUUAAAGGGUGCGUAGGCGGGCGCCUAAGUCAGCGGUGAAAUGCAGCGGCUCAACCGUUGAACUGCCGUUGAAACUGGGCGCCUUGGAUCCGGUCGAGGUUGGCGGAAUGCGUGGUGUAGCGGUGAAAUGCUUAGAUAUCACGCGGAACGCCGAUUGCGAAGGCAGCUGACCAGGCCUGGAUCGACGCUGAGGCACGAAAGCGUGGGGAUCAAACAGGAUUAGAUACCCUGGUAGUC
rnacentral:rRNA from 1 species